GACGAACGCUGGCGGCGUGCCUAAUACAUGCAAGUCGAACGAAGCUUUUUUAACUGGUGCUUGCACCGACUUAAACAACUGAGUGGCGAACGGGUGAGUAACACGUGGGUAAUCUGCCCCAAAGCGGGGGAUAACAUUUGGAAACAGAUGCUAAUACCGCAUAACCACAGAAACCACAUGGUUUCUGUGUCAAAGAUGGUUUCGGCUAUCACUUUGGGAUGGACCCGCGGCGUAUUAGCUAGUUGGUAAGGUAAUGGUUAACCAAGGCAAUGAUACAUGGCCGAACUGAGAGGUUGAGCGGCCACAUUGGGACUGAGACUCGGCCCAAACUCCUACGGGAGGCAGCAGUAGGGAAUCUUCCACAAUGGACGAAAGUCUGAUGGAGCAACGCCGCGUGAGUGAAGAAGGUUUUCGGAUCGUAAAACUCUGUUGUCAGAGAAGAACGUGUGCGAGAGUAACUGUUCGUGCAGUGACGGUAUCUGGCCAGAAAGCCACGGCUAACUACGUGCCAGCCGCCGCCGUAA
rnacentral:rRNA from 1 species